AAGCUUGGUAUUAUAUAUGCCAUAUAAAAUAAUUAUAAUAUGGCCCCAGCAAAGUCAAAUGUGAGAUUGAAUUGAGUAGAUAUUUAUUCAAGUAAGAGUGGGCUAAGAUGAGUAUUUAAUAUAGUGGUACAGUAAGGUGUUGGAUUCCAAGAGCUCCUUUCUCUCUGAUUGUUGUUGUCCCCUGUGUCAAUUGCCUUCCAAGCUAAGAGCUGCAUUACCAACUCUUGACCCAAUAUCUUGGCUACCUAUAGCAUAUAAAAUGGAAUACACAAAAGCCAUCAACCGAAAGUUCACCCAAGAUUAUUUAUUCCACCAAGUUCUUGGAUGCCAUUUUGGUAAAGUGUCGGGUCAAGCUCUUUACUUGAGCACUUCAAGAUUUCAAGAAACCCCUUCAAGAGCACCAAAAUCCUAAAAGAGGGAUUUUCAAGAUUUAAAUGUUUUGAGAUUGAAAUCGUUUGGGUCGUUCUUUGACAUUUGGAGCUAACGAUUGCUAAUGUCAAAAAUACAUUGAGGUCUAGCAGGCGGUCAGGUGCAAGGUGGUCAGAGUACGGGCUAGGAUUUCCUGUGCCUUCAUACUUUUGGUGAGCCCACAUUUGAGAUCGUGGGAUUCACACUAUCAUAUUUUCAUUUUUGUAUGGCGCGAGCUAGUUUCGCAACAUUAUUAUUUCAUUCAUACUUUCAUAGAGGCUCCGUAGAUGUACUUGUACUACUUUUGGGUUAUGGGUGUCUGUUUAGAUUUGCAGAUAACAUCUUCAUUUUAUGAUUUGGUUAAUGAGCAUGUUGAUUUAAUAUUAUUCA